rnacentral:tRNA from 1 species
ACUUCUCUAGUAUACCACAAUACCAAUGGCUUCCAACCAUUAAAUCUUAGCUCAAACCUAAGGAGAAGUA